UGAAAUUUUACGAAUAUAAAUGGAAAAUAAUUUGUAUUCUCUUCUGAAAAUACUUGGUCUAAUUUGAUGCAAUGUGCAUAAAAUUAAAAUUGCAAAUACAAAACUUCUAAUUCUAAUUCUUCUAUUCUUACAAUGUAACUAUGGAAAAUAAGGGAAUCCGACAAAAAUGAAAACUUCACAGCUCAUAUCCACAACUAAUCGCUGAAUGAAAUGAAUUACCAAUUAACUAUCAGAAUAUUUACGUUAAUUUGGUCUACGCAGUUAGCCAGUAAAAUGUUUACCAGAUGACCUUAUUGGAAAAGUGCCCAAAAACGUGAAUAUACAAAUGUUUAUUGGCGUAAUUAUACAUGCAUGCGUUUCCCGUCGCGGUUCCCAUCAAAAUAAACAAUCUGACUUGACAGGAAUCAAUAUUUUUGCGGACAAAAUACGUGUGCAACUUAAGGGAGGAUCAUCCGUUUGGGAGAAAAAGGUCUCUAUGCAGGUUGAAAGCUGAGACGAUAAAGGGAUUGGUGGCCGUGGUCAAGAGUACAGAGCCGGCAGUGUCUGCAAUAUAUUAUACCUUAAAAUUCAUUUAAAUAUUUCAAGUGCAUCGCCAAUGCUUGUUUCUGACUAAAAAGAAAUAUUAUGCAUGCGGAUGCUGGGAUCUACCUGUACCGCUGGCUCGAAAAAGGUCGGCUUAGACAGUGCUGGGCAGCUGAAAUUACAGGGCGGACACAAGCAGUUUUCUGUUGGACAGAUUCACGUUUAUGCACUAAUAUUCCGAAGAUUGCAAUAAUAUAUUGUCAAUAUGAACAUUACUCAGCGCCACCAGGAUAGCUUUUAGCACUAAAAUUAAGCAGCACUCGUCAUGAGUGAGGCAACGAGCCGGAAGAAAGAAGCCCGAGCUCCGGUAAAGGCACUCUACCCAAUGAGGCUCCACCGUAGGAUGACGCCUCAAUUUCAUCACACGAAAGCAUUUCAACAGCCGACAUUCAGGUACUUGUGCAAGUUAAAAAGGCGAAACGCGAGCUUACUGUCAAUCUGCGAACAAAACAUUCCCUGGCGAUGUCGACACGCCUACCCACAUACCCGACCCCAGAUACGACAUCUUAUUCCACCAUUCAUAGGCGCACAACCCGGUUACAAUCCAGGAGAACCACCAAUACAAUGCAGCCAUUGCCACCGCAUCCCACACUACCAAGGGCUUCGAAGACCUGGCAUCAACAAGCUAUCCCUUCGUCCGAACAUAAUGGUAUCAAACCUACGUACUCAAUAGCCGACGAUAUCGAAGAAAUCCCCAGAGAAGCAUCCCAAAAAUCACUCCCUCGUUCAACAACGUCAAACUCUCGUUCAAUACGUCAAGCCCUUCGACUAGCAAGUUUUCUUUCGGCGCCACAUAACGCAGUGCCUAAUUAGACACAAGUUUGACACUCCGAAUUGGCAGCAACGGAAAUUCUCUUCGAAAUUUUUUUCCUUUUAUUUAAUUACUGGCUAACAAAUAUCCUUAAAACUCCAACUAUAAUAUUCUUCCGACUUUCCCAGAAGUUUUUAUACGUCAAGCACAAAUUAAUAACACUCACAAUUCCAGAUUUCAGUUUAUUAUAAUUGAG
rnacentral:lncRNA from 1 species